UUUGUUACUUGCUUUCAUUAU
rnacentral:piRNA from 1 species